GACGAACGCUGGCGGCGUGCUUAACACAUGCAAGUCGAACGGAAAGGUCAUGCUUUUGUGCGGUGCUCGUGUGGCGAACGGGGGAGUAACACGUGUGUAACCUGCCCUUGUCUGUGGGAUAACUUCACGGAACUCGGGCUCAUACACCGGAGGAUCUCCUGCUGCAUGGUGGGGGUUGGAAAGUUUCGGCGGUUGGGGAUCGUCUAGCGGCUUAUCAGCUGGUUGGUCGGGUAGUGGAUGACCAAGCCUGUGACGGGUAGCCGGCCUGAGAGGGUGAACGGCCACAUUGGUACUGAGAUACGGCCCAGACUCCUACGGGAGGCAGCAGUGGGGAAUAUUGCACAAUGGGCGGGAGCCUGAUGCAGCAACGCCGCGUGCGGGAUAACGGCCUACGGGGUAUAAACCGCUGUCGCAUGUGCCGAAGCGUGAGUGACGGUAAUGGGUAAAGAAGCACCGGCUAACUACGUG
rnacentral:rRNA from 1 species